AUUGAACGCUGGCGGCAUGCCUUACACAUGCAAGUCGAACGGCAGCGGGCCCUUCUGGGUGCCGGCGCGAGGCGCGCGGGUGAGUAAUGCAUCGGAACGUACCCCGGAGAGGGGGAGAAUCGGCCGAAAGGCCGGCUAAUACCGCAUGAACGCGGAACAGCAAAGCGGGGGACCUUCGGGCCUCUCGCUCUCUGGGCGGCCGAUGUCCGAUUUGGCUAGUUGGUGGGGUAAAGGCCCACCAAGGCGACGAUCGGGAGCGGGUCUGAGAGGACGAUGGGCCACACUGGGACUGAGACACGGACCAGACUCCUACGGGAGGCAGCAGUGGGGAAUCUUGGACAGUGGGCGCAAGCCUGAUCCAGCAAUGCCGCGUGGGUGAAGAAGGCCUUCGGGUUGUAAAGCCCUUUCGGCGGGGAAGAAAUCGGUCAGGCGAAUAGGCUGGGCGGAUGACGGUACCGGCAGAAGAAGCACCGGCUAACUACGUG
rnacentral:rRNA from 1 species